rnacentral:snoRNA from 1 species
UGGCAAUGAUGAUAAAAAGGCCGGUCUUACAGCUGCUGCUGUGUGCUUGGUAGUAGUGUGAUGAUUUGUUCAAGGAGGUACCUGCUGAGCCAG